UGGUGCAUGGUUGUCGUCAGCUCGUGUCGUGAGAUGUUGGGUUAAGUCCCGCAACGAGCGCAACCCUUCGACCUUAGUUGCCAGCAUUCAGUUGGGCACUCUAAGGUGACUGCCGGCUAAAAGUCGGAGGAAGGUGGGGAUGACGUCAAAUCAUCAUGCCCUUAUGACCUGGGCUACACACGUGCUACAAUGGGCGGUACAAAGGGUCGCGAACCCGCGAGGGGGAGCCAAUCCCAAAAAGCCGCUACUCAGUUCGGAUUGCAGGCUGCAACUCGCCUGCAUGAAGCCGGAAUCGCUAGUAAUCGCGGAUCAGCAUGCCGCGGUCGAAUACGUUCCCGGGCCUU
rnacentral:rRNA from 1 species